rnacentral:rRNA from 1 species
GAUGAACGCUAGCGGGAGGCCUAACACAUGCAAGCCGAGCGGUAGAGUUUCUUCGGAAACUUGAGAGCGGCGCACGGGUGCGUAACACGUGUGCAACCUACCUUUAUCUGGGGGAUAGCCUUUCGAAAGGAAGAUUAAUACCCCAUAAUAUAAUGAUUGGCAUCAAUUAUUAUUGAAAACUCCGGUGGAUAGAGAUGGGCACGCGCAAGAUUAGAUAGUUGGUGAGGUAACGGCUCACCAAGUCAAUGAUCUUUAGGGGUCCUGAGAGGGAGAUCCCCCACACUGGUACUGAGACACGGACCAGACUCCUACGGGAGGCAGCAGUGAGGAAUAUUGGACAAUGGGUGAGAGCCUGAUCCAGCCAUCCCGCGUGAAGGAUGACGGUCCUAUGGAUUGUAAACUUCUUUUGUACAGGGAUAAACCUACCCUCGUGAGAGUAGCUGAAGGUACUGUACGAAUAAGCACCGGCUAACUCCGUG